UGGACCAGCAAAAGCAUAGCUGAAAAUGUGAGUGCAGUCUUACACUAUUCUUGAUAAGCUACAUUAAAUUAAUAAUUUCUUCUGAUAAUGUAAAAACACUAGAUACUGUAAGAAGAAAAUUUAUAAUCAAAACUGUGGGAACUUUCCUGUACAUAGUACUCAUAGUGAAAGUGAAAGUCGCUCAGUCAUGUCCCACUCUUUGCAACCCCUGGAGAAUCACAUGGAUGGAGGAGCCUGGUGGGCUGCAGUCCAGGGGGUCGAGAAGAGUCGGACAUGACUGAGCGACUUCGCUUUCACUUUUCACUUUCAUGCAUUGGAGAAGGCAAUGGCAACCCACUCCAGUGUUCUUGCCUGGAGAAUCCCAGGGACGGGGGAGCCUGGUGGGCUCACUUCACGACUGAAGUGACUUAGCAGCAGCAGCAGCAGACUCUACAGUCCAUGGAAUUUUCCAGGCCAGAAUACUGGACUGGGUAGCCUUUCCCUUCUCCAGGGGAUUUUCCCAACCCAGGGAUCGAACCCAGGUCUUCUGCAUUGCAGGAAGAUUCUUUACCAGCUGAGCCAUAAGGGAGGCAUAGUACUCAUAAGUGGAAUGUAAUUAACUACCACUUAUAUUAAUUUGCAAUAUUUAUGCAAUCUGAUAGAGAAAUACUUUGGAGCUAAAUGGGCUGUUCUCAUGAAUGAGUGGAAAUAGAAUCAAUUAAUUGUCAUCCAGUAGGAUAUGAAUAGGAGAAGGCAAUGGCACCCCACUCCAGUACUCUUGCCUGGAAAAUCCCAUGGACGGAGGAGCCUGGUAGGCUGCAGUCCAUGGGGUCGCUAAGAGUCGGACGCGACUGAGCAACUUCGCUUUCACUUUUCAGUUUCAUGCAUUGGAGAAGGAAAUGGCAACCCACUCCAGUGUUCUUGCCUGGAGAAUCCCAGGGACGUCAGAGCCUGGUGGGCUGCCGUCUGGGGGGUCGCACAGAGUCAGACACGACUGAAGCGACUUAGCAGCAGCCAGCAGCAGCAGGAUAUGAAUAUCCUUCAACUUGUUCUUUUAAAAAAACCAGGACCAAAUUAUUGAAAUAAUCAAUAUAAACAGCAAUGUUAGAUAUAAUUAGCAAUAUAAAUGAAUCACAUACCAUCCAAGAUUUCUAUAGAAAUUUGAAGGAAAAACUGUCCCAGUAUUGGCUGAAAUGCAUCAUCUGUAUGGUGAGCAGGGGACUACUGCCAGUGAAAAAAAGAUAGUUUGUUACUGUUCCGAAGAGGAGAGGGCACGCCAUGCCACACAGGGACCCACAGGACAGUUUUGCUGGAUAUGGCUUCCCCAGUAGCUCAGAUGGUGAAGAAUCUGCCUGCGAUGCAAAAGACCCAUGUUUGAUCCCUGGGUCGGGAAGAUCCUCUGGAGAAUGAAAUGAAAACCCACUCUAGUAUUCUUGCCUGGAGAAUUCCAUGGACAGAGGAGCUUGGCGGGCUACAGGCCAUGGGGAUCCAAAGAGUCAGACAUGAUUGAUAGACUAACACUACAACUACUACUAAUCCAAUAUGACUGGUGUUUUUAAAAAAGAGGAAAUUGGGGGACAGACAUGCAUACUGAAUGAAGACAGUCAUCUACAAGCCAAAGAGAAAGGCCUGGAAAAGAUCCCUCCCUCAGGGCCCUCUCAGGAAGAACCAACUCCAUCUUAUUUCAGACUUCUGUCCUCCAGAAUUGUGAGAUGAUACAUUUCUGUUGUUUAAACCACCCAGUCUGGGGUUUUUUGUUAUAGGAGUCUUAACAAAUGGCCUCCCUGGUGGCUCAGUGGUAAAGAAUCCACCUGCCAAUGCAGGAGACACGUUCGAUCCCUGGGAAGAUCCCCUGGAGGAGGAAAUGGCAACCCACUCCAGUAUUCUUGUUUGGGGAAUGCCAUGGACAGAGAAGCCUGGUAGGCUACUGUCCAUGGUUUCAUAAACAGUUGGACAUGACUGAGUGACUCAACAACAACAACAGAUUAACACAAAUCUCAACUUCGGCAUGUUUCAACUGUGCAAAUACCUUCUUUUAGGGUGCUUCAAUUGCCUCACCCGAAAAACAGAGGAUAAACCUUCCCUCGCAGGGCUGCUGAGAAGUUUAAACAAGAUAAGGCUAAGUGAAGAGCACCCAGUUCCCACACUGGAACAGAGUAAAUGCUCGGUAAAUAUUACUUGAGUCUUUCCUUCUUGAACAAACCAAGUAUUUCUUUCAGUUUACCCGACUGUGGUCAGCUCAGCAGCCGGGGGAUGCAGCCUGGUACCAUCGAAAGAAUCCGCUCGAAGCCCUUGGAAAACACAGAAAAAGGCUUUGACAGCUUUGGGCGGCCCCUCUUCACCCUGUGCCUUUGGCCAGGGGUGCCCCUAAGGUUUCUAUUUCGCCCUGUGCAGGAAGAAACCUGUUCCGGAGGACGGCCUCUAGGGGGCGCGCUGUCUUCAGAGCUCGAGCCUGGACUGGCCCCUCGAGCGAGGCAAGGUGGCUCUGAGGCCUCGCGGAAGGCGCGUCCCCCUUCCUCCCCGCGCAGUUUGCUCUCAGUAACUCCGGGAACCGGAAACCCCCUCACUUUCCAGCCCUUCGAUGAGCGCGCACUGAUGCCCCGUGUGCUAUAUCCCUUACUCUGGACAAACCUGUCUUACAGCUAAGUUAAUGCUCAGAGAGGUUAAGUAACUGGCCGAAAGUCACGCAGCCAGCGGACUAGAACCCAUCUCUUCCCGACUCCAAAAGCAGCAAAACAUCUUUGUGGCCCAAGAAGCGCCAAGUGUUCAGUUCUCCAAAGGGAGCCAGAGAAGGGAGCAAGCUCCUCUCUGUUUCCUGCUCCUCACCAAGAAGGCAAGAAUUGGAAACGAGAUGUUGCAGAGGUGGGGACCCAAAGCCUCCAGCCCCUCACUUUGCUGGGCUCUGAUCCCCUGUGCCAUCUCCCCAGCCCUCUCAAGAAGACAGGCAACCUUUGUUGAAGAUUUGCAUGGUGAUGCCACAGCCCUCCAAGACUGCAGCGGAGACUCCUUGGACCGCCUCCAGAACUGGAGACUCAUAGAAUGUUAUCCAGGAUGGGAGGGAGGAGACCAGAGAAAGAGAUACACAAGGAGAAGCAUGCUCCUCAGGCUCCAUGUGCACUCGAACCAUGUGGGCAUCCUGGCUUCCCUGGCGGCUCAGUCGGUAACGAAUCCACCUGCAAGGACUGGCACGUCUCACAUAGGAGCUACUCCUGCAACCUUGGUCCCAGAUUGUGAAAAGACACGGAGCAGAAGCAGAGCCUUUACCAACGUGGCGGCAGACAUGAUACCAGAGUAAGGAACACUGGUUGUUACAAGCCACUGGGAGUCAGGGAGUCCUUUGUUACUAUGGUAAAGCUGACUGAUACAUCUGGACAAUCACCUUUUGCGAACACACAGGAUGGAGAAAAAUAAUGAAUUGUUGUUUUAAGCCACUACAUUUCAGGGUCGUUGUAAG
ensembl:lncRNA